AACCACGUAGGGAUGCCAGCCCCCACAACGCAAACUACUUAACAGCCGCCUCCCUGGCAGGCGAAUGCCGCCUUGCAAAGUUGAGGUAAAGUCCUCUAGUUCCGAGAAGCAGGUGCCUUACCUGAGACCAUCGCUCCUUGCGUGAACGGCGUAACCUCGCCUGCCGCCUGUCCCCUAGGAUUUACGGAGAUUCCGUAAUUCUGCCGGUUAGGGAAGGCCGAGGCCGCACCUGAGACGGUUUCUUACGUAAACUCCGUAACUCCUCAAAGAGAACUUCAUGGACAGAAUGAACACUUGGGAGUUACCAUGAUCACUUCAGAUGUAGAGCAUCUCGAUCAAAUAACACUGAUGUGUCCUUAAAGCUCUGCAAAAACUAUUCAACUCGGACUCCCCCUGCCAGAAACAGAGGAUGGAACCUUCAAGGGAUAUAGAGAAAGAGGGGCAGCCUACAGCUGGUUGGGAGGCGAAGGAGAUCUGAUCCUCAGGUGUUUAGUGGAAACUGAUCUUUCUAAGGAUUUUCAAGUGUGGAGGGCUGAAUGCCUUUCUAAGGAUUGUCUUCAGCAUUGUUCUUUCAGGAUGAGAGCAAUGAGUUGGAGAAUGUUGCUGAAGCAGCAAAACUGUUGCACAGAAUGCAAGAAAAACGAAAAGGUGCCUUCCCUCUAAAGUGAAGCGGAGCAGGAUGCUGGCUUUAAUUUUUUAUUAAGAAGAAAAAGCUGUACCUUCAGAUUUCAUAUGGGAGCUGCCUCCACUCGUUCCGGGAGGAAUGCAUUGCAUUUAACUCUUAGAGCCCUGAGAUCUGGUGCAUGCCUUCUUGGCCCUGAGGCAUAGAUGAAUAUAUUCACUGUGUGAUGCAAUCCCACCAUAAUGCCCAGUUUGACAUCCUCUGCCUUUCCCCUCUGUUUAAACCUCCUGAUAUCCUCUCCAUGUGUCCCCCAUGUGCUUACAAAUGUUAACUUACUGAUGAAUACCCCAUGAAUAAACCAUGACAAGUGACCCACCCUGAGUUUUGUCACAGAUGCUGUCCCUUUACUGCGAUGCUGAUCCCUUUAGUAGCUCACCAGCCCACCAUCCAGAUCCCUCUCUGAGCUGCCAGAUCUUCACCUCCAAAGUACUGUGUUUUUCCCCUUGUAAGU